rnacentral:rRNA from 1 species
GAUGAACGCUGGCGGCGUGCCUAAUACAUGCAAGUCGAGCGAACGGACGAGAAGCUUGCUUCUCUGAUGUUAGCGGCGGACGGGUGAGUAACACGUGGAUAACCUACCUAUAAGACUGGGAUAACUUCGGGAAACCGUAGCUAAUACCGGAUAAUAUUUUGAACCGCAUGGUUCAAAAGUGAAAGACGGUCUUGCUGUCACUUAUAGAUGGAUCCGCGCUGCAUUAGCUAGUUGGUAAGGUAACGGCUUACCAAGGCAACGAUGCAUAGCCGACCUGAGAGGGUGAUCGGCCACACUGGAACUGAGACACGGUCCAGACUCCUACGGGAGGCAGCAGUAGGGAAUCUUCCGCAAUGGGCGAAAGCCUGACGGAGCAACGCCGCGUGAGUGAUGAAGGUCUUCGGAUCGUAAAACUCUGUUAUUAGGGAAGAACAUAUGUGUAAGUAACUGUGCACAUCUUGACGGUACCUAAUCAGAAAGCCACGGCUAACUACGUGCCAGCAGCCGCGGUAAUACGUAGGUGGCAAGCGUUAUCCGGAAUUAUUGGGGGUAAAGCGCGCGUAGGCGGUUUUUUAAGUCUGAUGUGAAAGCCCACGGCUCAACCGUGGAGGGUCAUUGGAAACUGGAAAACUUGAGUGCAGAAGAGGAAAGUGGAAUUCCAUGUGUAGCGGUGAAAUGCGCAGAGAUAUGGAGGAACACCAGUGGCGAAGGCGACUUUCUGGUCUGUAACUGACGCUGAUGUGCGAAAGCGUGGGGAUCAAACAGGAUUAGAUACCCUGGUAGUCCACGCCGUAAACGAUGAGUGCUAAGUGUUAGGGGGUUUCCGCCCCUUAGUGCUGCAGCUAACGCAUUAAGCACUCCGCCUGGGGAGUACGACCGCAAGGUUGAAACUCAAAGGAAUUGACGGGGACCCGCACAAGCGGUGGAGCAUGUGGUUUAAUUCGAAGCAACGCGAAGAACCUUACCAAAUCUUGACAUCCUUUGACAACUCUAGAGAUAGAGCCUUCCCCUUCGGGGGACAAAGUGACAGGUGGUGCAUGGUUGUCGUCAGCUCGUGUCGUGAGAUGUUGGGUUAAGUCCCGCAACGAGCGCAACCCUUAAGCUUAGUUGCCAUCAUUAAGUUGGGCACUCUAAGUUGACUGCCGGUGACAAACCGGAGGAAGGUGGGGAUGACGUCAAAUCAUCAUGCCCCUUAUGAUUUGGGCUACACACGUGCUACAAUGGACAAUACAAAGGGCAGCGAAACCGCGAGGUCAAGCAAAUCCCAUAAAGUUGUUCUCAGUUCGGAUUGUAGUCUGCAACUCGACUACAUGAAGCUGGAAUCGCUAGUAAUCGUAGAUCAGCAUGCUACGGUGAAUACGUUCCCGGGUCU